GUCCUACGGGAGGCAGCAGUCGGGAAUAUUGCGCAAUGGAGGAAACUCUGACGCAGUGACGCUGCGUGCAGGAAGAAGGUUUUCGGAUUGUAAACUGCUUUAGACAGGGAAGAUACAAGACAGUACCUGUAAAAUAAGCUCCGGCUAACUACGUGCCAGCAGCCGCGGUAAUACGUAGGGAGCAAGCGUUAUCCGGAUUUACUGGGUGUAAAGGGAGCGUAGACGGCAGCGCAAGUCUGGAGUGAAAUGCCGGGGCUCAACCCCGGAACUGCUUUGGAAACUGUGCAGCUAGAGUGCGGGAGAGG
rnacentral:rRNA from 1 species